rnacentral:lncRNA from 1 species
ACUCGAAGACUCAAGAAGCUCAACGGGCACCACCUUACAAGCCGAGGACUAUCCAGUUGUUAUGCAGUUCCUACCUUACAGCUAAGUUCUCGUUCAUUUCACUCGUUUUUUUAGUGAGGAAUUCUGAAGUAAUCACAACUUGGCUCGACUGCAUGCUUACAACAACUGAUCACUCUGCACUUCAAAAGAAGAUUGUGCCCUACUUAGGGACUCAUCGCAGGAAUUGCACCCCCCGAAGGACCAACCAUGCUCUCUAAUGCGAGAGGGUAAACUAAUUGCUCUCUAGUGCGAGAGGGUAAACCAAUUCCUCGACACCCAUAUGGGUCAGCUCUCCAAGACGGAAGGAUAAACUUUACAUUUCGAAUAUCCAGACGUGGAUGAGCUUGGCUGCCCUAGUAUAACUAGAUGCACGAUGGCUUGCGACGGGAU